ACAAUGAAAUUGCAGUUUAAUAUUGUUCUUUUACUUUAUUUGAUCCUAUUUUUUUGCAGGUUAUAACUGAGCAACAUGGAAAAUCAUAAAGGCUGCUUCAAGAAGAAUGAUUACAGUGAUGGACUCUCAGAUUGCAACAUUUUGCUUAAAAAUCUAAUGAGAACAGACAGAUGAAGACACUACGAGAGGACUCUAUAAUGAAAUUGGGAAUAGAAGAAAGAUUCUAAUACUGGGAAGCCAUAAAAUAUAUUUAAACAUGAGUAGUUAAAAUCUGAACUGCUGAAAAUGUCAUUGUGUG
rnacentral:lncRNA from 1 species